CYGAAAUCGCUUUAGCUAACCUGUURAAGGAGGCGAGCGCUGAAGGUAUGGGGAGUGAUUGGGGUGAAGUCGUAACAAGGUAGCUGUAGGUGAACCUGCAGAAGGAUCA
rnacentral:rRNA from 1 species